GUUGGGCCUGCUCGGUGAGAAGAAAAAUUUAACAGCUGCGGUAUUAUAACUGUACUAAGGUAGCAUAAUAAUUUGCCUUAUAAAUUAAGGCUAGAAUGAAUGGUUUGACGAAAAUUAGACUGUCUUUAUUUUAUUUGUUAGAAAUUAAUUUUUAUAGUGAAAAAGCUUAAAUAAUUUAAGGGGACGAGAAGACCCUAUUGAGCUUUAUUUAUUAAUAUUUAAAUAUAAAUAUAUAAUUUAUAUUAUGAAAAUUAUGUUGUGUAUAUAUAUAUUUAAUUGGAUUUAAUUUUGAUUGGGGUGAUCAAGGAAUAAAGAUAAAGUAACUUCCUUAAAAUUAAUGAUUGUUUUUAUGGAGUAAUAAACCAAGUUUUUUGCUUAUAAGAUAAGUUACCAUAGGGGUAACAGCGUAAUUUUUUUUGAGAGUUCAUAUUGAAAAAAGAGAUUGCGACCUCGAUGUUGGAUUAAAAAUUACCUUAAGG
rnacentral:rRNA from 1 species